rnacentral:rRNA from 1 species
ACCCGCUGAACUUAAGCAUAUCAAUAAGCGGAGGAAAAGAAACCAACAGGGAUUGCCCUAGUAACGGCGAGUGAAGCGGCAACAGCUCAAAUUUGAAAUCUGGCUCUUUUAGAGUCCGAGUUGUAAUUUGCAGAGGGCGCUUUGGCUUUGGCAGCGGUCCAAGUUCCUUGGAACAGGACGUCACAGAGGGUGAGAAUCCCGUACGUGGUCGCUGGCUAUUGCCGUGUAAAGCCCCUUCGACGAGUCGAGUUGUUUGGGAAUGCAGCUCUAAAUGGGAGGUACAUUUCUUCUAAAGCUAAAUAUUGGCCAGAGACCGAUAGCGCACAAGUAGAGUGAUCGAAAGAUGAAAAGCACUUUGGAAAGAGAGUCAAACAGCACGUGAAAUUGUUGAAAGGGAAGCGCUUGCAGCCAGACUUGCUUACAGUUGCUCAUCCGGGCUUUUGCCCGGUGCACUCUUCUGUAGGCAGGCCAGCAUCAGUUUGGGCGGUAGGAUAAAGGUCUCUGUCACGUACCUCUCUUCGGGGUGGCCUUAUAGGGGAGACGACAUACUACCAGCCUGGACUGAGGUCCGCGCAUCUGCUAGGAUGCUGGCGUAAUGGCUGU